rnacentral:rRNA from 1 species
UCUACACUGUCGAGAAAAGCUUCUAACGAGACAUCAUGUACCCGUACCAAAACCGACACAGGUAGGCGGGGAGAGAAUCCUAAGGUGCGCGGGAAAACCCUCGUUAAGGAACUCGGCAAAAUGCAUCCGUAACUUCGGGAGAAGGAUGGCCGGAGCUGGUGAAGAGAUUGACUCUUGGAGCUGGAGCCGGCGGCAGAAGAGAAGCCCAAGCGACUGUUUACCACAAACACAGGUGCCUGCUAAAGAGAAAUCUGACGUAUAGGUGUUGACACCUGCCCGGUGCUGGAAGGUUAAGGAGAGAUGUCAGGAGCAAUCCGAAGCAUUGAACUGAAGCCCCAGUAAACGGCGGCCGUAACAAUAACGGUCGUAAGGUAGCGAAAUUCCUUGUCGGGUAAGUUCCGACCCGCACGAAAGGUGUAACGACUUGGGCACUGUCUCAACGAGGGACCCGGUGAAAUUGAAAUACCUGUGAAGAUGCAGGUUACCCGCGACUGGACAGAAAGACCCCAUGGAGCUUUACUGCAGCCUGACAUUGAUUUUUGGCAUGUGACGUACAGGAUAGUUGGGAGACGGAGAAGGUAGCCCCCCAGGGUUACCAGAGUCGCUGUUGGGAUACCAACCUUUAUGUGCUAGGGAUCUAACUCGAGAAGUAACGAAGCUGAGGACAGUAUCAGGUGGGCAGUUUGACUGGGGCGGUCGCCUCCGAAAGAGUAACGGAGGCGUCCAAAGGUUCCCUCAGCGCGGACAGAAAUCGCGCGAAGAGUAUAAAGGCAGAAGGGAGCUUGACUGCGAGACAUACAGGUCGGGCAGGUACGAAAGUAGGGCUUAGUGAUCCGGUGGAAUGAGAGUGGAAUUGCCAUCGCUCAACGGAUAAAAGCUACCCUGGGGAUAACAGGCUAAUCUCUCCCAAGAGUCCAUAUCGACGGGGAGGUUUGGCACCUCGAUGUCGGCUCAUCACAUCCUGGGGCUGAAGCAGGUCCCAAGGGUUGGGCUGUUCGCCCAUUAAAGUGGUACGUGAGCUGGGUUCAGAACGUCGUGAGACAGUUCGGUCCAUAUCCAUCGCGGGCGUAAGAUACAUGAGGGAGACUGCUCCUAGUACGAGAGGACCGGAGUGGACGGACCGCCGGUGUACCAGUUGUUUCGCCAGAAGCACAGCUGGGUAGCUGCGUCCGGAAGGGAUAAACGCUGAAAGCAUCUAAGCGUGAAGCCCGUCCCGAGAUGAAGUAUCUCAUGUCGUAAGACAGUAAGACACCUUGAAGAAGACAAGGUUGAUAGGGUAGAUGUGGAAGUCCUGCAAGAGAUGAAGCUGACUACUACUAAUAUGUCGAGGGCUUAAC